UACGUAGGGUGCAAGCGUUGUCCGGAAUUAUUGGGCGUAAAGAGCUCGUAGGCGGUUUGUCGCGUCUGCUGUGAAAACUCGGGGCUUAACCCCGGGCCUGCAGUGGGUACGGGCAGACUAGAGUGCGGUAGGGGAGACUGGAAUUCCUGGUGUAGCGGUGAAAUGCGCAGAUAUCAGGAGGAACACCGGUGGCGAAGGCGGGUCUCUGGGCCGUAACUGGCGCUGAGGAGCGAAAGCGUGGGGAGCAAACGGG
rnacentral:rRNA from 1 species